GUCCGGAGGAGGGAGCCGCCCAGACCUAGCCCGGGUGGGGCGAACGAAGAGCGGGCGUGGUGGGCGCCUGCUAGCUCCGGCUCGCGGUGUUAGGCCUUGGGGACAUCGCUCGGGGACAGGAGAGCCCCGGGCCCCCGCCGCCCCGAGCCGUGGCCGGGAAGGGGAACACAGUCCAUGCGUGCGGCGCCCGACAGCCUCUCCCCGCACGCCCGAGCCCCAGUGCAGGCGGCGGCCCGGCCCCUUUGUGCCUGGAGUGUCACGCGCGGGCGCUCCUGCCGCCGCGCCUGGGAGAGGCCUCCGGCACCCCGGGCCCCUUUCCAAGCACAACAGCAGCCCUGCCGCGGCCCCGCGCUGACCCACUUUCCCUCCUGCCUCCUCAGCCCGAGGCCGAGAAUCCAGCGGCCGCCGCCAAGCAGAUCUCAUCCCAUCAGUUGAAGACCUUAAGAGAAAAGAGACUGACCUGCUCUGAGCAAGGAGGAAUUCUGCUGGCCAACUGCUUGUGAACUCCAACUUGUAAUAUCGGUCUCCAGCCUACCGGCUUACUCUGCAGAUUUUGGAUUUGCCAAGCCUCCACAACCGCAGAAGCCAAUUCCUUAAAAUGAAUCCCUUACAACAGUUCCCUAAAAUAAAUUCUUCAAAAUUCCUUAAAAUAAAUGUGUGUGCAUGUGUGUCUGUGUAUAUAUAUAGCCUAUGUAAUGUCUAAUAUAGAUCUAUAAUAUAUAUUAGAUAAAUAUACACAUACUUAUCAUAUAUAUAUGUGUGUGUGUGUGUGUGUUUCUCCUAUUGGUUCUGUUCUCUGGAGAACCUAAUACAGAAACAAAUCUGUUUAUUCUUCUAGCCUCUGUAUCAUCAGGCCUCUUUGUUAGAGCAGGUGAGCUUUACCCUAACUAAUUCAGAGGUUGAUUCGUUUUCAUGCAUGUAGAUACUUGUCAUUUAGCUUCUAUUAUCUGCCUGUAUUUUAAGGUUCUUUGUCUUAAAAUGUUAUGACUCCAGGAAUGUUAUAUAUUAAGUAUAUUAACCUUUUGACUAUUAUAUAUCUUGCAAACAUCUUGUAAUCAGUCACUUGUCUCUUUAUUUUAUUUGGAGCGGCUUUCAACCUAGAGCAGUGGUCCCCAAACCCGGGGCUGCAGACUAUUCCCUGUCUGUGGUUUGUUAAGAACCAGGCUACAUAGCAGAAGAUGAGUAGCAGGCGCGGGAGCAUGACCACCUGAGCUCCGCCUCCUGUCAGACCAGCAGCGACAUUAGAUUCUCAUAGGAGCACAAACCCUACUGUGAACUGUGCGUAUGAGGGAUCUAGGUUGCACAUUCCUUAAAAGACUCUUAAUGCCUGAUGAUCUGAGGUGGAACAGGUUCACCCUGAAACCAUCCCCCGCUCAGCCUGUGUCUGUGGAAAAAUUGUCUUCCAUGAAACUGGUCCCUGGUGCCAAAAAGGCUGGGGACUGCUGACCUACAAGAUAUAUUAGUUAUGACUCUUGGUGCAUACUCUUGACAGAAAUCCCACUCAACCUAGUAUAAUGCAGAGGACAGUUCACGGAGCAACUCAAAUAAUUGCCACUUUUACAAUAUUGAAGCUUCCUACGGGAAACAUAAUACAUCUCUCAAUUUAUGUCCUUUAAUACGAUUAAACAUUUUUCUUCAUGUAGGUUCUCCAGAAUUUUGGUUAUGCCUAUGCCUAGAUUAUUUAUGAUUGUUGUUGGUAUUGCAAAUGUCCUCUCCUAUUGAUUAUUUAAUGGUAUCUAUGGAAAGUAUUGAUUUUUGUGUAUUUGCUCUGUGCCCACUUGCCAUCUAACUGGUUGUUAUAUUUUAUUGAACCUUUCAAAGGAUAUGAAUUAUGCUGAUUUUAAUGUCUUCUUCUGAUUCCUGCAUUAUUAUCCUGUUUUCUCCAGCGUUCUGUCUACUUCUUCUGCAGGCUGUUGGUUUCCUUCAAAUGUCUGGGGAUUUUUGAUUGUCUGAUCCCAUUUGUAAAUGAACGUCCAGAGAGUGGUUUUCAAAGUGAGAUCCAUGGACCCCUAAGGGUUCUUAAGACUCUUUCUGGGUGUCUGCAAAGCCAAAACUAUUUAAUAGGAAUAAAAA
ensembl:lncRNA LINC02352 long intergenic non-protein coding RNA 2352